rnacentral:snoRNA from 1 species
GCCGAGACUAGAGUCACAUCUCGACACCACUCUUGUCCUGGUGUGCUAGAGUACUCGCAGAGAAUCUGCUGGUCUCGAUUCACUGGCGGGGGCAGUCAGUGCCCCCGUUAGUGCCCAGAUCAGUAACAUAC